GGGAAACUUUAUUGCUGAUGCCAGUCAUGGCGAAAUGAAGUAAAAAAACCCGAUGCGCAGGUCAUCGGGUUCAUUUCA
rnacentral:sRNA from 1 species